AGAUACCCCGAGAGCCGCAUAUUCUCAACUGAACUCUUCGCUGCUAAGGUACAGAUGAUCACUAGGCUUGGGCAGCGCGCCUGCGGGUCACAGCUGGAGCACAGCUGUGCAGCACACGGACCCCGGGGCGAGCUCUCUACCAGACCACUGCUACAGGGAGGGUUCCUGGCACAGUGAUUUGGUGCAAAAACACAAACAAAAAUCACAUUGCCAGGGAUUUCCACUCUGUUACAGCGCUUCAGGCAUCGGUUCUAAUUAAAACGAAUGUCCUCAGAAUGCA